UAUGGGACCAGAUGCAAGAUUCAGAGAAAGAAAUUUGAAAGAAAGUAAAGAUCUCAGUUCUGGAUGGAUCUCAUGAACGAUUUGAAGGAAAGACAUCUCUUCAAUGGAAGUCAUGACCACACAUGCCUUGUGCGGUUUGUCUUCAUGGAUAUGCUACAGAGAGAUCUUGAUGAAUGCAUGGACAGGUGGAAUAAACAUACCAUAAGACCUGUUAAGCAAUCUUGCUGUCCAUCUGGUAAACCAGAUGUGAUGUAUCAUCUACCUCACAGGUUUGGUGGAACAGACUGUGGUUUCCCAGUCUCCCAGGAGCAAUUGGGACAGUUUGUGACAGAGACUAACAACAUUCAAUGUGGAGAUGAACACCUUCAGGCACAUUUUGAGAACCUCCAGAGACAGUGUGGCCUAGCACAUCCACAGAGUUGGGAAUCAUGUGUCGAAAACUAUAUCAAACUGAAAAACAUGGCGGACUUAUAAACAAACAAAAAUCCAAAUUUGAAGGUCGCACACAAACACUAAACAGUGUCAUAACUGAACAGGUUUGACAAGUUAAAUAGUUAGCAUUUUGUUUUGUUGUUAUGCAUUUGACCUUAAUAAAGCCCAAACCCAGGGGAGUUUUGAA